CCUACGGGUGGCAGCAGUGGGGAAUAUUGGACAAUGGGCGAAAGCCUGAUGCAGCCAUGCCGCGUGUGUGAAGAAGGCCUUCGGGUUGUAAAGCACUUUCAGUGGGGAAGAAAGCCUUGGGGCUAAUACCCUCGAGGAAGGACAUCACCCACAGAAGAAGCACCGGCUAACUCCGUGCCAGCAGCCGCGGUAAUACGGAGGGUGCGAGCGUUAAUCGGAAUUACUGGGCGUAAAGCGCGCGUAGGCGGUCUGAUAAGCCGGUUGUGAAAGCCCCGGGCUCAACCUGGGAACGGCAUCCGGAACUGUCAGGCUAGAGUGCAGGAGAGGAAGGUAGAAUUCCCGGUGUAGCGGUGAAAUGCGUAGAGAUCGGGAGGAAUACCAGUGGCGAAGGCGGCCUUUUGGACUGACACUGACGCUGAGGUGCGAAAGCGUGGGUAGCAAACAGGAUUAGAUACCCCAGUAGUC
rnacentral:rRNA from 1 species